rnacentral:rRNA from 1 species
GGUGCGGCAGAAUAAAAGGUGGGCGCGGUGUGUUCCUACCUAUUCCGCUUCCCCCGCUUUCUACGACUACGCACCCCCCUCUCUCACCCUCCUCACGCGCAUGUGCCCUCCGCCCUCCGCCCCGGUCCCUCCUCCUUCUGUCGGCGCUGCCGCUGGUCACGGCGCGGCGGCCGCCGCUCCUCUCGAGGCCCAAGUGGCCUAGCUCGCAGCGGCUCCUCCCCCUGUGAGGUGCCGCCGCCACGAACCCCGAGGCUGCUCGCCUCCGCUCGCCGCUGUCCUCCGCUGUCCUCUUCGAGGCGCCGCUGGACUUCCGGUAGUCGGUACCGGCAACACCAAAGCGCACGCGGGCGCUCGCCGACGUGCGACCCCCUCCGCCUCGAACUGCGUCGCGCGCUUGGAUCGGAACCACGCUCACGCUGCCGCUGCGCCGACGACAGGAGGGCAGAUUGGGCGCCGUGCAGCUCGGAGUGGCCUCAAGGAGGUACUGCGGCAUUCGUCGACGGUGACGGGAGGUACCUCGGGGCUGCGGAGGCGGUACUUGGGUAGGUAGGGAGGACACGCGCGAAGGGACGUUGAGGUCUUCGGGCGGGCGUCGAGAGACGUAGCUCGUCGUCGUCAAGCCCGUCUCCUGCUGCGGAGACGGAGCUGGCGAGCGGGGGAGACGAAGCGCGACCUGACGGUUCGGGGAGGGCAGGAGUAGGGGCACGUCGACGUGCGAGAGCGGACGGGGGUGCCACUCGAGGCGGAGGACGCACACCAGCGGCGGAGGGAGUUGGAGGUGGUGGACGACGUUCAACCACGGGUCCCGCAGCGUUCGACGGUCGCCGCCGUCUCAACGACGAGGGCACAGCACUAACCUGAGGCACAAGAAGAGGUUGUCGUUUAUGCACAAGAAGAGGUUGUGGUUAGUUACCUAAAGGGCUCGGCCUAAACUCAACGGAUGAUAUUCUUCCUUCCCAGGAGCCUGGUCUUCGAGGUAGUGUAGUUUAGUUUAGGGCAGCUUUAACGUUAGAAGCAGCUUUGUAGGUACAGCGGCGGCUCAAGCGGCCUCCUUCUUCGCGUCUCAAGCGGCCUCCUUGUUCGCAACCUGCACACACCGCCGCACGAGCCUCUCGCCCCUCCCCGCGACACCACCACCUCUACCGGCUGCGACAUCUGUUCGCGACCCUCGAAGACUUCGGUACCGGCUCGCUUCCCCUCUCGGCGGUACGAUCUGCUCUUGUUGUUGGCACCAUCUACUACAAGUCCCUCUAUAAUGUUUGACGAUCUACAACGAUGACAUAACUGAUAUUCGACGACCUAAAGAACGAGGGUUCAUAUGAACGAAUAGACACGAUAUUACCUUUUAUCGGAUUGGCAACCUGGAAGUCAAAUAAUAUAAAAGAAGAAACAAGAACCAUCUGUACGCGUUCAGUUACCGACUAGUGAAGAAAUAUACGCUAGGACUCGACUACGCUUCCAGGAUACAAAAGAACUAACCGUCCGUCCACUCGUUCUCCUCCUGGUAUCCAGUCCCUCACAAACCAAAGUCCCUCUAGCAACCCCUCCUCAAGUACUGGUACAAGGACAGUCAAAAAUCGGCAUACCAAGUCUUAGCGGUAUUAACCUCACCGUAAAUAGUUUAAUUGGGAUUAAUGAAACAGUUUGUGUGUAUAAGAAAGAACUAUGCGUAAAAGUAAAAACCAAUAGACACUCUUACAAAUCAUAUGUCUCUUCAACAAGGUACCUAGUCGAUUUGUUUUUUAUUGAAAAGUAAACACUAUCAAACGCUAUACGUCUCUAUCCAGAUAGUUUCAAACAUUACCGAGUACCGGUUUGUAUACUUUGACAAGAACUAUGAUAAAAUAGGAAAAGAAUUAUAGUAGUAGUAGUAUAUAUAUAUACACACACACACACACAUAUAUGUGUGUGUGUGUGUGUGUGUGUGUGUUUAAUCUUUGAAAGAUUGUAGACGUAUAAAGUCCAAAUCCUCCUACAUCUCUCUUGCUACAAGUUUGUUAAUUCACGUCGUAGUUGUCUGCACAAGGAUUUAAAACUACUGAUAAUCUUUCUCUCUCCUAUACCACUGGCUUUCAGCACGGCACAUGCACAGCCCGUCACCAUCUAAUUUCUAUAAAACAUUAACCUGAACCGUUCCCUAUCUCUGAUCGUACUUAAAAAAAAAACUCGUCGCUUUACCGCGUUGGGAAGCACUAAAAACUUCAAACUUGUCUCAAUACUUGGUAAGCGGCGGAUUAGGGAUCUAAGAACCUCAUAGUUCUACCACACCGGUAGUCCCAAGGGUAGUGGUACGUACGGUACGAACUCGAGGAGUUCUUGCGGUGGUUCGACCGCACAUUACCUACUACCGACUACGUUGCCACCUCCUCCGCAUAACUACAGUCAAACUUCGUUUAGUCCUCUUGCGGUGGUAGCCACUCCAACGGUCCACUUCCUUCGUCGCCUGACCACCGUUCCGAAAAGAUGAGUGGUGGCAAACUCAAGUAGUAGACAGCGAUGACAUGGGUGAGUCAGCAUAGGUACAAACGUAUAAGAGGUCGGGUAAGUUAUUAGGUGCUUUCCUCUUUCUUUACAGAUUCUUUGGCUUCCAUAACGACGUCGACUAUCCAGCGGAUGAGGAAACCUAUGGUAAGUAUAGCAUGAAUUGAGUCACUCGUUUAACUCCUGAUGCCAAUAGAAGGUACAGAUACACUUUAUUUACGCUAUCAAAGUAUUGUGGUUUACCAGGUUUCACGUAGGUUAUGUACCAGUUCUCGUGGUGACUGCAAGUGCUUUGGCUAUUAUAAUGUCCGACAGGACCACCCUCAGAAGAGCCAGGACCACACCGCUGGAUCCUUCCUGUUUGUCCCAACCAGCCGUGGUUUCUACUUUUGUAACAGCUCGGAAUGAAAAACGUUCAACGGAGUGAAGAUGAUGAAAAUCUCCUUUCUAUCGUUAAAGUCAGUACAACGUGCUUGUGAACAUCUAGCGCCACGUAGUUCUAGUAUUAACGAUGUGAGUUUCCAAUGUAACUGGAAUAAAGACUGUAAACGUUUUUUACAUAAUUUUUACGACGUAUUACCGUGUACCUCGUUAAAUAUGAAUUAUAAAGCGGGCCACGUUGCGUGCCCGUAAACAUGAUCAUUUUUAUUUUGUGCCUAUACUCCCGUAGUACUAGUAAGACUCUUGUUGUUGAAUAUAUUAAAAACAGUAUACUAGAGAAUACGAUCUCAUUGUUAAGUUAGUAUUAAAAUUCAUACUUAGUAUUUGAAGUAACUCUUGAUUGUUUGAUAUUAGAGUCGGUAACCUCAUUAACGUUAAAUAGUAUUAUAUCCUUUCUCAGUUAUAUUUUCGAAAAAUCGUUCAGAUCUAUGAGUUGAUAGUAUAUCAGUAAGUGUUAACGAUUAUGAGUGCGUUAUGAAUACCCGUACCUCAAAAUUAGCCUGUGCCUCUUUCUAUCCCCGAAUAUCAAAAUAGAGGUUUGCAAAAUGGAAUUCCCAUUACAGUUGUUAUCAAGUAAUCUUGAGUAUAGGUUAAUCGGUAUAUAUAUGGUCUUAGAAAAGUUGUACAACACGAACGGUUUUCUAUUUUACAUUUUUCCUUCCCACUCCUUGUGGUUCUGAGAAUACAUUCCAUCCUCUAUUUACAUUUUCUAUCCGGGAAGCGUCUCUCUUCGUCUCCAACAGUACGCGAAAAUACCAACCUACAUGUUUUAGAAUUACACUUUCUUGCAGUGAAAUAUAAAGGUAAACACUAUACCUGGAAAUAAUACGUCAGGCAGCGAAAAUGAAGAAAGUAUAGUAUACUAGCAUAUUUCGAACAAAAGAGGGUGUGAUUAUUCAGUAUGUAUAAAUCUCUCGUAAAAAAAUAACGAACGUAACUACUGUUGAAUGAACCUCCUAGAAUGAGUUAGGUAUCCAUCCAUGCCACCUGAGAGUACCGUUUUGACCAAAUUCCCACAAACCUUUUUCAUUAUAAAGAUGAACACGUUUCUUAAACCGAUCGUACUCCCCCUUCUGUUCGAGUUAGUACAACCUACUAGGUACUGUUAUAUUAAAAGUCUACAUUCUUUUGUAUUGGGUAAUGUGACAGAAGGAACAGGUUGCAGUUGAGAAAUCGUACAAUAUAAAAUUACUCACGAGUGUUAGUAUUUUAUACAGGUUCUAUCAUAUAAAUAUACACUUCUGGAGAGAAAGAAAUAAUGAAGGAUAAUUAACGUUGCUACUCGUUUUGAUACAAACAGUUGAGAGUUAUUGAAAAUAAGUAGUGUGAAAAAUAUACACUCGAGUAAUGAGAGGUAUUCUAGAUAUACUAGAGAAAAUAAAGGAAAAAUAAGUACGGUCCGAUCAGUUAUCUGUUAGAGUAUAAGUAAUCUAGUCAGAGCACCAUCUGUAUACAUGAGACAUGAUGUGGCUAUACUUAUAUUAGUUUUCGUCCUGCAUCCCAAAAUGGAGGUAGUUCUCUCAGACUUGGACUAAUUUUAGGGUACAGGUAUAAUGGUAGCGAAGUUCUGCGGAUCGAAUCCUGGGGAUGAUGCUCUAAGCGGCGAAAACUGUGGCUGUAACCACGAAAGUAACUCUCAGACGAUCCGCUAGCAACGCUAAGCUACCUAGAAGUUGUUUACGGUUUAGUCCACAACAUCAAAGUCAAAUAAAGCAACAUGCAUCUAGUUAAGAAAACGGUUUUCUUUUUAGAGACAACAAGUAACGAUAAAAAAGACGUCUAAGCUAGGCCGAGGCGCGCGUAUCCGGUAGUUCCGUUCUUUGUACGCAUCGAUAUACUCGCGGUCUACGGUUGCACACGAUCUUCGUCGCCGCCGUCCACCGGACCGCCGGCUUGUGUAGUAACCCCUUGUGUACGGGAUCCCAUGGACUAGUCCCGGUCCAAGCAUGCGACCGACCUGUCGUUAAGUCCCCUGGACGGUUUUUAGACUUGAUACCAUUAGGUCGCUCCUCUGGGACGGACACGGCUUGUCACACGCCCGGCUGUUCUUAAGUCUAAACGAUCUUUCACUAGGCCAGGAUCAAAAUAAAAGAAAUAAUAAAUUAGUACUCUGACAGAUACGAAAACCGCUCCCUUAACGUACUUGGUGGUGAAUAACCCCGAUCACAACGUGUUUUGUGGAUGAUAUGUCCAAACAACGUCUUUCGUGGUGUAUAACCACAUUAUGUAACGUCUAUCCAGAUUAGAUCGCAAAUCGAUAUAAUUGUAUUAAAGUCUGUUUACCUAGAGCGAACAUUCAGUUAAGAUUGGCCGACUACGUUUCCUUACACUGAAAAUAGGCAAACCCAGCCG